rnacentral:lncRNA from 1 species
UUUAACCUUAACCAGUUGAGUAUGGCCGUUGGUGGCUGACGAUACGUGCAUCUCUCAUCACGAGCAGAAGUAGUGGGGGAGCAUCAUAACAAUGUGUUGAGAGGCAUUCUAUGGGGUUUGAAUAAUUCGUCUCUGGGAAUAUAUGUGAUUUGUUCAACAUUCUUAAACAACUCUUAUUCAGGGACCUUUUGAGCUGGAUGGGCUACUCGACCUGAAAAAAAUCUAACUGGGCUCAUCCUGCAAGUUCAUACGCUCUUUAUCUUGAUAUGAGAUCAUCAUGUCGCGCACAUAUGGUUGUGAUGUAUGUGCCUGGUGUACCUUUAUCAGACAGUUUAGUCAAGAUGGGUAUAUUGGGCUUUGUACUCCAACGUCACUUUGAUGGCAUGUGCUGCUCUCUCACUCAGUAAUAGUAAUAAUUAGUAUAGUUUCUUUAUUAACCAAUGACUGAUGAUGAAAAACAGAACAACACAGACUGCUGAUACGUAAAAGUGUAUAAAAGUAAAAAUUAAAAAGAAUGAAGAAACAAAAUAUUCAAAGUAGGAAUAAUUCCCCCCAAAGAGGGAGACAUUCAAGGAUUACCCAAGGAAAUCCCGAAAAGGGGCGGUCACCCUGACCAUUAAGGCAAACGCCCUCUUCUAGCUUUCCACCACCCAUCUACGGGUGUAUGUUCAGAGCAUACCCGUUCGCCUUGACUAUGCUCACCACUCUCAUCCCCCUUUCAACAAAUUUGCUGCGAGGCAACACUUACCUCGCUACCCUCACUUUCCUUUUCACGCGAGAAUUGAAAAAGUUAAAAUGGGUUGGCGAAAGAGGAACUUCCUGUUUUCAGCAAUUUCAAAAGUGAUGACCAUUUCUUUUAAUUUCUACCAUGGCCAAUUCAUAUAUGCAAAAACGCGUUUCCAUGUUUUUGAAAUAUCCAAAUUUUAUGAACAUAUGGUGAUGUAAAGUUACAGAAGGUAACCAGUGGCGUAUGAAAGACAUCAUAAACUGUAUUGAGACAUUAAUUUGAAUGAAAAUUAAACAAAAUAUUUCAAUAAACGUAUCUAAUCAAAAAACGACAUAAUUGAAUGCGAUAUAAUUAACAAUAUAUACCAAAACAAGUAGUAAAGUUGAAUUUCUCCGUGGCUGAAGGGUGUUCGUUUUGUGUCUUACCUCCUGUUUGACCAUAUCUUUUCGCUCCGUUUUAUUGUAACCGUUUGCCACGCCUACCCAGACUUUAUCUGUUCCCUAUAACCGCUAGACGACGAGGUUGUAAUACUAAAGACGAAGAGCAUUCUUUGGGUUCCAGACCGACAACUUCAGGGACUGAAGAGAAAGCAAUCCCUUCCGUACGACUGGAGGUGCUUAGACAGUAGUCAUUUUGUGUUUUAUCUGUUGCUGUUUCUAUUGUAUCUGUUUUAUUUUUCUGCUUAUAGGCCAUUCCGGGUAAGAUCCAUCUAAUCGCUAUUAAACAUAUGCGGGUAACCACUGCGCUUGUAACCUUUCCUCACUAGCUUCAUUACUUUACUUUCGUCGCUUACCCACAACAGGCGAAGCUUCAGAAUAUCCUUGUGGUUUUGAAAGAUUAUUAGGAUUUGCUUGAUAAUGCUGAAAAUUCUCACUGUUGAUUCUGACCCCUACUAUUCUACAAGGAUUAACGUCAUCAAAUUUCGUAUUUUGUCGUCCCAUAUACGGGUCUAUAUCAUACGUGUUCGGCAUGCUUUCUCGCUCUGUCCUUAUCUUGCCCCACAAGCCCGACUUACCCCAAUCGGGGUAGGGCCUAUAGACCGGCUAUUUUUGUUGUCUCUGCUAUUCCAUACAUCGGCCAGAUACCUUCGGUUUUUGCUCACUCUUGGGUAAAGUUCUCAAAUUAGGAAAAACUCUCUUUUCCUCUUCUUUUCCUCGUCAUGUUCAAUUCUUUAGUGUGGCUAAUACCAUUUGUGCCACUGAAAACACGUUCACUUAAAUUGGCUCGUUUUCUUUGUUUGGCAAAUUCUGUAAGCAGAUCUUGAUGAUGGCAUUAAAUGAGUUAUUCGAACCAUUCAGUUUAACGUUUAAAAUGUUAAAAUGAUAUUACCGUGUGUGUGACGAGGGAAUCUAGUUAUGACAUUGAUUUUUUUCCCUUGAAUUUCUGUUUCUUUUCUGUGUAGUUAUUCUCAUGUGCGUCUCUGAGUAGAAACCAUCUUGAAUCUAAUGUAAACAGUAGCUGAAAAAAAAGCUAUAUCCCAGAAUAGUCCUCCCUAUGUGCUGGCAAUUCUAGGGUCAGAAAUUUAGCCCAUAGCACUGACCUCAGUACCUAACAGCUACUUUAUUUUAUCAACACUGAGCGGACGAAAGGCAAAGUCGAUCUCUGCGCGAUUUGAACUUGGAACGUCAAGGGUCGGAGAAAAUACAAUACGACUAUCUCUGAUGUAUCAGUGUAAAAUCAGCAAUUAAGCUGUUUGAAAACCUUCCUGGUGAUUCAUAAUGCAUAUAAUGUUUUUCUCAGUUAGUGAAAUGAGGUUAGCUUCUAUACUCUGUUGCUUGUGAACUAGUUUUAAUAAUUAAUUAGACUUCGAUCUACAUUGAUCCCAUUACUUAUUUCAGUUUGUUAUUUUUCUAUCCUAUGGCUAAGUAUUCCUUUUGACAUACAGGGACAUACCUCAACACACUGUUUACACUGGUUGAUAUCGACGAAUUAGCCCGGUAUACGUAGUAGAAUUGUUUGAAUGUGCUCCGGAAGUGAUUUGCAAGGCUUCGGCCUAUUUCUCCAAAAUAAAGACCGUUGUAACGUUUGCAAAUGAUAGAAUUCUGGGUAAUGUGAUAUUGUAACUUAGACUCUUUCGAAGCAUACUACUAUGCAUGCCAAGCCAACCUGUCGCCACCCACUUCAGCACAAUAAACCAUUCCAUCAAUCACUUACCAAAGUGUAGCAUGUCUCUACACCAAGGAUCCACAGUCUAGAAAACAGAAGGCACAACGUUUCAUAUUGGAACUUGGUACCAUAUCACCAACAGGUUUACAUGAAUUCUUCCAUUCUUUUACUUGUUUCAGUCAUUUUGCCUGUGGCCAUACUAGAGCACCGCCUUUUACUCGAAGAAAUCGACCCCAAGACUUAUUCUUUCUAAUCCUGGUACUUAUAUCUGUCUCUUUUGCCUAACCCCUCAGUUGGAGAAAACUUAGGAAUUGAUUGGGAUGGGGGGGUAAACAGACACAAACACACAAAUACACACACAUACACACGCAUAUACGAUGGGUUUCUUUCAAUUUCCGUCUACCAAAUCCACUCACAAAGCUUUGGACAGCCCGAGGCUAUAGUAGAAGACACUUGCUCAAGGUGUCACGCAGUGGGACUGAACCCGGAAAUAUGUGGUUGGGAAGCAAGCUUCUUGCCACACAGCCACGCCUGCGCCUAUUUUGCUUUCUUGUACAUCUACAUCUCUUCUUAGUUCAGUAAUACCUUUCUUCGUCUUCAACUCCUUUUCGCUUCAUCUUUUACCUCACUCUUACUUUCACCCGCUUUCCCUCCUUAUUCUAUUUUCUUUCCUUCUCCCUCUCUCAACUAGUUUUUCUCUCUCGCUACUUCCUGUUCACGUAUAAAGCUCCUGUGGUCCUGCGUCUCUUGUCAGUUGAAUCCAGUUUUUGUGACUUAGAGGAUGUAAAGCUCUGCCGUUUCUCUUUGAUUUCUAUCUUGCCAGCAUCUCUCUGAAAAAAAAGGACUCUGUUUGAAACGUCGGAUGUUUCACUCCCCACAACAAGUUUACUGUACGUUUUUAUCGAUCUUACUGAAUAAUACAAGUCUUUCCGGUGUAGACCGCGUCUAUGGGGUCUGCUUGAUCGUGUGUUGUGUGUCUGUGUGUAUGUGUGUGUGUACAAAUAAGGAAGAAAGUAUCAGUAUAGCAUAAGUUUAAUAUUGGUUACAAUUGUUUCAGUACCAUUCUUUUCAAAGGACAUUACGCAUAAAUGAUUAUGUAUGGAAAAUUACACAGCGGUUGUACAAAUUUACACACGUUUGAAAUGGCGUGGAAUAGUACCUCAUCAGACACUUACCAAACUUAGUUAUCAUAUAUGAUAUGCGACAAAGGCCAUUACUCUUUCUGAAUUCAGGGAAAAG